AGUGAACGCUGGCGGUAUGCCUAACACAUGCAAGUCGAACGGCCGCACAGUAAGAGCUUGCUCUUACGGGUGGCGAGUGGCGGACGGGUGAGGAAUACAUCGGAAUCUACUUUUUCAUGGGGGAUAACGUAGGGAAACUUACGCUAAUACCGCAUACGACCUACGGGUGAAAGCAGGGGAUCUUCGGACCUUGCGCGAUUGAAUGAGCCGAUGUCGGAUUAGCUAGUUGGCGUGGUAAAGGCCCACCAAGGCGACGAUCCGUAGCUGGUCUGAGAGGAUGAUCAGCCACACUGGAACUGAGACACGGUCCAGACUCCUACGGGAGGCAGCAGUGGGGAAUAUUGGACAAUGGGCGCAAGCCUGAUCCAGCCAUACCGCGUGGGUGAAGAAGGCCUUCGGGUUGUAAAGCCCUUUUGUUGGGAAAGAAAAGCAGCAGGUUAAUACCCCGCUGUUCUGACGGUACCCAAAGAAUAAGCACCGGCUAACUUCGUG
rnacentral:rRNA from 1 species